GUAGCGGCGAGCGAAACGGGAAGAGCCCAAACCAACAAGCUUGCUUGUUGGGGUUGUAGGACUCCAAUAUGGUAGUCUGUUAGUAUAGUUGAAGGAUUUGGAAAAUUCCGCUAAAGAGGGUGAAAGCCCCGUAGACGAAAUGCUAACAACACCUAGGAGGAUCCUGAGUACGGCGGAACACGAGAAAUUCCGUCGGAAUCCGCGGGGACCAUCCCGCAAGGCUAAAUACUCCCUAGUGACCGAUAGUGAACCAGUACCGUGAGGGAAAGGUGAAAAGCACCCCGGAAGGGGAGUGAAAUAGAUCCUGAAACCGUGUGCCUACAACAAGUCAAAGCUCGUUAAUGAGUGAUGGCGUGCCUUUUGUAGAAUGAACCGGCGAGUUACGAUUGCAUGCGAGGUUAAGUCGAAGAGACGGAGCCGCAGCGAAAGCGAGUCUGAAUAGGGCGAAUGAGUAUGUAGUCGUAGACCCGAAACCAUGUGAUCUACCCAUGUCCAGGUUGAAGGUGCGGUAAAACGCACUGGAGGACCGAACCCACGUACGUUGAAAAGUGCGGGGAUGAGGUGUGGGUAGCGGAGAAAUUCCAAACGAACUUGGAGAUAGC
rnacentral:rRNA from 1 species